ACUCCUACGGGAGGCAGCAGUGGGGAAUCUUCCGCAAUGGACGAAAGUCUGACGGAGCAACGCCGCGUGUAUGAUGAAGGUCUUCGGAUUGUAAAGUACUGUCUUUGGGGAAGAAUAGUGGAAUUAAGAAUAUUGAGUCCAUAUGACGGUACCCAAGGAGGAAGCCCCGGCUAACUACGUGCCAGCAGCCGCGGUAAUACGUAGGGGGCAAGCGUUGUCCGGAAUUAUUGGGCGUAAAGGGCGCGUAGGCGGAUAAUUAAGUCCGGUGUGAAAGAUCAGGGCUCAACCCUGAGAGUGCAUCGGAAACUGGCUAUCUUGAGGACAGGAGAGGAAAGUGGAAUUCCACGUGUAGCGGUGAAAUGCGUAGAUAUGUGGAGGAACACCAGUGGCGAAGGCGACUUUCUGGACUGUAACUGACGCUGAGGCGCGAAAGCGUGGGGAGCAAACAGGAUUAGAUACCCUGGUAGUCCACGCUGUAAACGAUGAGUGCUAGGUGUAGAGGGUAUCGACCCCUUCUGUGCCGCAGU
rnacentral:rRNA from 1 species